GGGUAUAGCUCAAAUGGUAGAGCACAUGCUUAGCAUGCACGAGGUCCUGGGUUCGAUCCCCAGUAUGUCCU
rnacentral:tRNA from 1 species